rnacentral:rRNA from 1 species
CCUACGGGAGGCUGCAGUGGGGAAUAUUGCACAAUGGGGGAAACCCUGAUGCAGCGACGCCGCGUGAGUGAAGAAGUAAUUCGUUAUGUAAAGCUCUAUCAGCAGGGAAGAAAAUGACGGUACCUGAGUAAGAAGCCCCGGCUAACUACGUGCCAGCCGCCGCGGUAAUACGUAGGGGGCAAGCGUUAUCCGGAUUUACUGGGUGUAAAGGGAGUGUAGACGGCAGUGCAAGUCUGGAGUGAAAGGCGGGGGCUGAACCCCCGGACUGCUGUGGAAACUGUACGGCUGGAGUGCAGGAGAGGUAAGUGGAAUUCCUGGUGUAGCGGUGAAAUGCGUAGAUAUUAGGAGGAACACCAAUGGCGAAGGCAGCUUACUGGACUGUAACUGACGUUGAGGCUCGAAAGCGUGGGGAGCGAACAGGAUUAGAUACCCUAGUAGUC